UACAGAGGGUGCGAGCGUUUGUUCGGAAUUAUUGGGCGUAAAGCGCUUGUAGGCGGCACGUCAAGUCGCGUGUGAAAUCCCCCAGGCUUAACCUGGGAAGUGCGCGCGAAACUGACGAGCUUGAGUGCCGGAGAGGGUCGCGGAAUUCCCGGUGUAGAGGUGAAAUUCGUAGAUAUCGGGAGGAACACCAGUGGCGAAGGCGGCGACCUGGACGGACACUGACGCUGAGACGCGAAAAGCGUGGGGGAGCAAACAGG
rnacentral:rRNA from 1 species